rnacentral:rRNA from 1 species
AUUGAACGCUGGCGGCAGGCCUAACACAUGCAAGUCGAACGAGUGGCGGACGGGUGAGUAAUGUCUGGGAAACUGCCUGAUGGAGGGGGCUAACUACUGGAAACGGUAGCUAAUACCGCAUACCAUCGGAUGUGCCCAGAUGGGAUUAGCUAGUAGGUGGGGUAAAGGCUCACCUAGGCGACGAUCCCUAGCUGGUCUGAGCGGAUGAACAGCAACACUGGAACUGAGACACGGUCAAGACUCCGACGGGAGGCAGCAGUGGGGAAUAUUGCACAAUGGGCGCAAGCCUGAUGCAGCCAUGCCGCGGGUAUGAAGAAGGCCUUCGGGUUGUAAAGUACUGUCAGCGGGGAGGCGUUACCCACAGAAGAAGCACAGGCUAACUACGUGCCAGCAGCCGCGGUAAUAC